rnacentral:rRNA from 1 species
CUGCUCUUGACAUCUCCCUGACCGGCAAGUAAUGUUGCCUUUCCUUCGGGACAGGGAUGACAGGUGGUGCAUGGUUGUCGUCAGCUCGUGUCGUGAGAUGUUGGGUUAAGUCCCGCAACGAGCGCAACCCCUAUCUUUAGUAGCCAGCGGUUUGGCCGGGCACUCUAGAGAGACUGCCAGGGAUAACCUGGAGGAAGGUGGGGAUGACGUCAAAUCAUCAUGCCCCUUAUGAGCAGGGCUACACACGUGCUACAAUGGCGUAAACAAAGGGAGGCAGAACCGCGAGGUCGAGCAAAUCCCAAAAAUAACGUCUCAGUUCGGAUUGUAGUCUGCAACUCGACUACAUGAAGCUGGAAUCGCUAGUAAUCGCGAAUC